rnacentral:rRNA from 1 species
GAUGAACGCUGGCGGCGUGCUUAACACAUGCAAGUCGAACGGUGAAGCCCAGCUUGCUGGGUGGAUCAGUGGCGAACGGGUGAGUAACACGUGAGCAAUCUGCCCCUGACUCUGGGAUAAGCGCUGGAAACGGCGUCUAAUACCGGAUACGAGCUGCGGCCGCAUGGUCGGCAGUUGGAAAGAUUUUUCGGUCAGGGAUGAGCUCGCGGCCUAUCAGCUUGUUGGUGAGGUAAUGGCUCACCAAGGCGUCGACGGGUAGCCGGCCUGAGAGGGUGACCGGCCACACUGGGACUGAGACACGGCCCAGACUCCUACGGGAGGCAGCAGUGGGGAAUAUUGCACAAUGGGCGGAAGCCUGAUGCAGCAACGCCGCGUGAGGGAUGACGGCCUUCGGGUUGUAAACCUCUUUUAGCAGGGAAGAAGCGAAAGUGACGGUACCUGCAGAAAAAGCGCCGGCUAACUACGUGCCAGCAGCCGCGGUAAUACGUAGGGCGCAAGCGUUAUCCGGAAUUAUUGGGCGUAAAGAGCUCGUAGGCGGUCUGUCGCGUCUGCUGUGAAAUCCCGAGGCUCAACCUCGGGUCUGCAGUGGGUACGGGCAGACUAGAGUGCGGUAGGGGAGAUUGGAAUUCCUGGUGUAGCGGUGGAAUGCGCAGAUAUCAGGAGGAACACCGAUGGCGAAGGCAGAUCUCUGGGCCGUAACUGACGCUGAGGAGCGAAAGGGUGGGGAGCAAACAGGCUUAGAUACCCUGGUAGUCCACCCCGUAAACGUUGGGAACUAGUUGUGGGGUCCAUUCCACGGAUUCCGUGACGCAGCUAACGCAUUAAGUUCCCCGCCUGGGGAGUACGGCCGCAAGGCUAAAACUCAAAGGAAUUGACGGGGACCCGCACAAGCGGCGGAGCAUGCGGAUUAAUUCGAUGCAACGCGAAGAACCUUACCAAGGCUUGACAUAUAGAGGAAACGUCUGGAAACAGUCGCCCCGCAAGGUCUCUAUACAGGUGGUGCAUGGUUGUCGUCAGCUCGUGUCGUGAGAUGUUGGGUUAAGUCCCGCAACGAGCGCAACCCUCGUUCUAUGUUGCCAGCACGUAAUGGUGGGAACUCA